GUAAUUAAAACUACCAUAAUGAGCUAACUACAAAAGUACAUCUCAGUAACUUCACAUUACACAACCAUAAUUACCUAAGUACAAUUGCAUUAACUACCAAAGAAACUAGCCUUGCAAAGAAACUACACGCUUUGGUCACAAUGAAAACGGUCUCAACACUAUUGGUUAAGUGUGGCCUUGCAAACUAACUAUAUCCUUUAACUAGUAUACAAUCUAAAAGCUUUGGUCGCAAACAAAACAGAGAAAGAAAACGCAACCAUAAUUAUCUAAGUAUACUACCAUAAUGAGCUAACUACACAAGUACAUCUCAGUAACUUCACAUUACACAACCAUAAUUACCUAAGUACAAUUGCAUUAACUACCAAAGAAACUAGCCUUGCAAAGAAACUACACGCUUUGGUCACAAUGAAAACGGUCUCAAC
rnacentral:lncRNA from 1 species